UUCUAAUUUUUCUUUCCUUUCUUGCUUUUCUCUUUUCUCUGGUUGCCUCUCCCCCAUCUCCAUUUCCUUCUCCUCCCGAAUCGUCUUCUUGUAAACCCUAGCCCAUACUUUCUCAACUCAAUGUCUCCUCUUCAGCAUUUUGAAAUGAUCAACAACCCUAAAUCUUCCUUGAUAUAUCCCUUCACUUCAAGCUCACCCCUACUCUUUUCUUUUUCUAAACUCCCUGUAAGCCAUAAAGCCAUACUCUUAGUUCUCUGCAACUUUCUCAACUUCUCUGAUCUUCUCCAUCUCAAUGAAAAACCCUAGCCCUUGGUUCGUCUCCCUUACUGAAACCGAAGCCUCUAAACCUCAAUCCUUCCACCUCCUCUAAAUCUAAACCACUUUCUAACCUCUCGAAGGAAUUUUUCCUCACGGGUCUUCAAGUCCAAGUAUUCUCUCUAUUCAAAAUGGGACAGACCCGAACCCUCGAGGAUUCUAGGGGAUCUGAAAUCUUCGAAGUGGAGAUUCGUUUGACUAUUCGAAAGCCAAUCCUUAGAUAAGUGUCCUCCCUUACCUCUAUCUAUUUUGUGGUGAAGUUUUUAUUUUUUGUUUUGUGUUUUCUUUGUUUUGAAAUCUGAGGUGGGUAUGUAUGAUUUUUGAACUAUGAUUGUGGGUAUUGGUGCUCGAUUGAUGACAUUUGUGUUGAGUUGUUGAUGUUGGUUUGUUAAUACUGGUUGGUUUGGGUAUUAAGCUACAGGUUUAGAGUUAGAGUUUGGGUGGAAAUUUGAGUUGCAGGUCUCAAUGGUGAAGACAAGUCCUCUCGUCUUCACCCAAUGAGUGAGUGAGUGAGUAAGUGACAAGUUGACUUGUAUGAGUUCACCCAAUUGUGUGGGUACUCGGACAGACCCAACUGAGUCACGUGCCUAUGGGCACACGUGGGGGUGAACUGGGAUGGGCUUGAAUAAGUUAUCUUUUAAAAUGGGCCACAGUUAAGCUUUGAAAAUUAGGCUGGAUCACACCAAAUUUUAAAAACAGGGCCCGCAUGGAUUUAAAAAUAGACCAGCCCAACUUGGGUUUCAAAGCAGAGCCCACGUGGGUUUUAAAAAGAAAAAAGAAAAUGGGCUGGCACAAUUCAGAUUUUAAAACAAGGCCAAUUGGAUUUUAAAGGUGGGGCUAGUUGGGGGGUUUAGAAGUUGGGCUCCGGUUCAAACAUACUUCAGAUUUUGGGUUGCAAAUUCAAUUCAAGUAUAGGUUGCAGGUCCAAUUCGAGUAUAGGAAGAAUGGGUUUGGAUCAUCCCUAGAAGCAAUGAUCUGAACCUAGGUUUGGGUUCAGGUCUGAGCUCAGAUUCAAAGGACUUAAGAGGGGCGGGAGGUACCUACACUCACAAAUGCACAUACAACACAAUAAUAUGGAUUGAAAAUUGUCAAAGAGCAAAUCUGAUUUCACCUUCUCCUUCUUUCUCCUCCAGUCUUCUUUUCCAACCCCUGUGUGUGUUUGUGCCUGCCUAGUUCUCUGGCUUGGUCUCCGAUGCUGAAUGGGGAUCUCUGAAUUGGCUUCGGGUUGUGAGUGAGCAAUUCCAGCUUUCUGGAACCGAGUGAGGGUUCCCUCUCUUCCUAUUCUCUUCCUUUCUGCUUCUCUAUUAUCUGCUCCCUGCAAAUUAGUAGAAUUUAUUUCUGCUCUCAAUCCUCACUUCUCAAUUUGGCAGGAUAUCUCUAAUGCUCUCUCACUCUCAGUUUGGCAGGGUGCUUUUGCGCUUUCUGAGGUGUCCCUCUACAGUAGGCGAGCCUCCCUAUUUAUAGGGAGGCUAUGGGAUGAUUUUGGCACCAAAUUCACCUCUUCCAGCGUGGAUUAUUCCCACGAAAUCCCCUCUAACGGUUUUUCAGGGAAUGAUUCCUUGUGAUUUCCUUUGAUUUCCUCUAUUAUUAUUUUUCUUCUUCUACUAAUUUUCCCAAUUCUGUGCGUAGGUGAAAGUCCAGGUGGCCAUCUCAGUUUUGUGAGCUUUUUGGAUGGGUCGAGCUGGCAGAUGUGGAGUGGAGGGCAUUUUGAGUGCCCUCAGGUGGCAUCCCGGGAAUGGAUGCAUGCAGGUAACUCCAAGUGGCGCUCGAAGAGAGGGGGACUUUUGGGAACUCCCAGCUGGCACCCCAGGAACGGAGGAUCAAGAAUAUGCCCUUUUUGUAUUUUUGUAUUUUUUCUGUAUUUGCAUACUGGUGUAUGUAACCCCGAGUAAAUAGAUUCCCUGUGACAUUCCUCUGUAUGUGCGCUCAUGAACUCUCUCCAAAAUAAAAUUAUGAUGUAUGCAUUUUUAUC